GUCCACGCCCUAAACGAUGUCAACUGGUUGUUGUGAAGGUUCCUUCUCAGUAACGUAGCUAACGCGUGAAGUUGACCGCCUGGGGAGUACGGCCGCAAGGUUGAACUCAAGGAAUUGACGGGGACCCGGCACAAGCGGUGGAUGAUGUGGUUUAAUUCGAUGCAACGCGAAAACCUUAACCUACCCUUGACAUGCUAGGAAUUCCGCAGAGAUGUGGAAGUGCUCGAAAGAGAACCUAGGCACAGGUGCUGCAUGGCCGUCGU
rnacentral:rRNA from 1 species